rnacentral:rRNA from 1 species
ACUGGUGAGUAACACGUGGGAAACCUGCCCAGAAGCGGGGGAUAACACCUGGAAACAGAUGCUAAUACCGCAUAACAACUUGGACCGCAUGGUCCGAGCUUGAAAGAUGGCUUCGGCUAUCACUUUUGGAUGGUCCCGCGGCGUAUUAGCUAGAUGGUGGGGUAACGGCUCACCAUGGCAAUGAUACGUAGCCGACCUGAGAGGGUAAUCGGCCACAUUGGGACUGAGACACGGCCCAAACUCCUACGGGAGGCAGCAGUAGGGAAUCUUCCACAAUGGACGAAAGUCUGAUGGAGCAACGCCGCGUGAGUGAAGAAGGGUUUCGGCUCGUAAAACUCUGUUGUUAAAGAAGAACAUAUCUGAGAGUAACUGUUCAGGUAUUGACGGUAUUUAACCAGAAAGCCACGGCUAACUACGUGCCAGCAGCCGCGGUAAUACGUACGUGGCAAGCGUUGUCCGGAUUUAUUGGGCGUAAAGCGAGCGCAGGCGGUUUUUUAAGUCUGAUGUGAAAGCCUUCUGCUCAACCGAAGAAGUGCAUCGGAAACUGGGAAACUUGA